rnacentral:rRNA from 1 species
UACAGAGGGUGCGAGCGUUAAUCGGAAUUACUGGGCGUAAAGCGUGCGUAGGUGGUUUUGUGCGUCUGUUGUUAAAUUCCGGAGCUUAACUUCGGAGCUGCAAUGGAAACGGCAAAACUAGAGAGUGCUAGAGGUAACUGGAACAUAUGGUGUAGGGGUGAAAUCCGUUGAUAUCAUAUGGAACACCAAAGGCGAAGGCAUGUUACUGGAGCAUUUCUGACACUCAGUGCGCGAAAGCGUGGGGAGCAAAAAGG